AGAAAAAAAAUAAUAAUAAUUAAAGCUGCGAGCAGCGUUGAACGGGCCCUCGCACCCGGCGCCCGUCGGGGGAGCGGCGACCGCGGGACCCCGGCAACCGCGGGGUCAACGCAGGUCGCAGGGCACACGCUGGCGUAACAGUUCACACUUCCCAGAUGUAAAAAUUUAAAAUAAAAGCUUUUAUGCUAAUUAUUUUCUGUGAUAAUAUUUUUCAGAGCUCAUCAUCUGUGACAGCUCUUGGCUCUCCUGACUGUAACCUCUCUGUGGCAGCUUCUCACAGACUCAAUCAACUCCUCUUCCCCUCCCCCCUCAAACACAAACACAAACACAAACACACACACACACACAGAUACCCCCUCCCAAAAGGAGAUAAAACUCAGUUUUAACUUGAGUUUACAAGCUUUGAGCUUUGAGCAAAAGCAUUUUUUUGCAAGUUCUGUUAUUGGGUGCAUAUAUAAAUCAUUUAUGCUUAAACAAGGGUUAUAAUGAAGUUAUUUGAACAGUGAAUAUCUCAUCUGCCUAAAGUCAGGGCGAAGCCACUAACCAGCUGUAGGGAUGGGUAUCAUUAGGAUUUUAUCUUUAUCCAUACAGACCCCUAUCAGUCCAGCUCAGACUGUUACUGGUUUAAGAGAGUGAAGUUUAUAGCAAUUUGCAAAAUUUGGAGAUUAGUGACAAACUAACCAGUUAGACUACAUACAGACAAGCUUUCAUUUUAGCUGUUAGUAACAGUUUGCCAUGAGCUUAACCAGCGUGCUGUGCUUCGUGUUAAACAUGUCAUGAGACUGUGGACAACGUUUGAGCCAGCUUUGACAUCUGCAGAUAUGAGUUUCUGAAGAGGGGCCUGCUGAGGUUAGAUGUGCUGAAUAAUAUCCAUUUUCAUAUCAGAAAAAACACUGCAUUAAACAUUGUCUUAGCUCACUGAGCUGAGGUCAACAGGUAAUAUAACCAACCUGUGAGGUGGCUCACCCCCGUAAGAUAAACACAUAAAUGAUCCCUGAUAGAACCGAUAAUUAAAGGCACAUCAGUGACAGGGAAUGCUAUUAAAACUAAACUAUAAACUGGUGACAUUAACUGCAAAAGAAGAUUUUUAUUGAUACAUUUCAGGUAGAAUUUAGUUUUCAAUAAGGAAAAUGCUGUAAGAAACCUGAAUUUGUUGCAACAAAUUUAAAAUAAAAGCUUUUAUGCUAAUUAUUUUCUGUGAUAAUAUUUUUCAGAGCUCAUCAUCUGUGACAGCUCUUGGCUCUCCUGACUGUAACCUCCCUGUGGCAGCUUCUCACAGACUCAAUCAACUCCUCUUCCCCUCCCCCCUCAAACACACACACACAGACACACACACACAGAGACCCCCUUCCAAAAACCCAUCAAAGAGUAAUACAAUGGCUCCAUCUGUAGGAUAAAGUAGAGAGUCGCAACAGGAAGUUACCCCAAAAUCUGAGGUUUCAAACAGGAAGUUGGGUUUCCGAACUUUGACGGGCCAGAACCGGCACACGCUUCGACCCAAACUCACAAUUUUCGGAGGACUUCUUCCAAAAAUUGUCAAGGAGGGGCUGACAACAUUUGAAGUGAAUCUGGUCACCCGUCUAGAAACUGGACAUCACACUAUAAAAUAUGUCAUUUCCUGCUAUAAAUAGGUGGCGCUACAACAAUUGUAUGAAUAUUGACAUAUGGAUGUGUGCAGAUAGGUACCAUUAACAAUCCUGUAAAGUUUGAUGCAGUUUGGACAAAGUAUGGCCGAAAUAUAGCAAAAAUAAAGCAACUUCCUGUUUCGUGGCGAGUAAUCGAACUUUGAGGGGCCAUAACUUCCACGCCCUUCAACAAAAACUCAAAAUCUGCCGCAAUUUAACAUCGUCUAUGUCUUAAGAACAUACUAUUAAGUUUUGAAGUCAAUCGGAUAAUGCGUCUAGGACUAGUUCGCGUUCAAGCGACCCCUGGAAAUGGCCAAAAACACACAAUUUUUUCACCUUCCGGUCAAAAUAAAAAUACUUUCUGUUGGGUUUAGAAUAUGGCUCCAAGAGACUUUUUGGUGCGUCAUGGGAUGUUACAUAUGUGUGCAGAUUUUCAGAUUUUUAGGCGCAACGGGCUUGAGGGGCUGUUCCGUUUAAAAAUGUAGGUGGCGCUACCGAGGCCAUUUUACCACGCCCAUGCUCAAGACCCCUAAAUUAUUAAAUUUUUCGCCGUGCCUGACGCGUCUGCAAAUUUUGGUAAGUUUUCACACAUGUUAAGGCCCUCAAAAAGCCGAUCUAAGAGGCGGAAAAAGAAGAAAAAAAAUAAUAAUAAUAAUAAUAAUAAUAAUAAUAAUAAUAAUAAACAGACCGAAAACAAGAGGGUCCUUGCAACUCGUUGCAUGGCCCCGUUGGGCCCACGCAACUCGUUGCUCGGGCCCUAAUAAUAAUAAACCGAACGAAAACAAGAGGGUCCUUGCAACUCGUUGCAUGGCCCCGUUGGGCCCACGCAACUCGUUGCUCGGGCCCUAAUAAUAAUAAUAAUAAUAAUAAUAAACAGACCGAAAACAAGAGGGUCCUUGCAACUCGUUGCAUGGCCCCGUUGGGCCCACGCAACUCGUUGCUCGGGCCCUAAUAAUAAUAAUAAACAGACCGAAAACAAGAGGGUCCUUGCAACUCGUUGCAUGGCCCCGUUGGGCCCACGCAACUCGUUGCUCGGGCCCUAAUUAUAAGUUUGUGGAUGUUUGUAAAGAUGUCUGUCCUCAGUAUGAGCAAAUAAGCUUCGGGCUAAGAGCCAUAAACAGGUUAGGGGAGUUUUAAAGCAGUGGAGGACAGAAAUAAAGAUAUGGAAUAACAUAAGACAUUUGUUUUAAGGUAGAAAAUGUACAUGAUAAUCGUCAAGAAAAUUAUUUUGUGUGAGUGAUAGACUUAAAUUAUUUAUAUUUCGUUUUAAAAUUAGUUCUGCCAAUAUGUAAAUUCCCAGCUCCCUCAUGUUUGUGCAAAAAUGUUCUCAAACCCUGACUUGUAACAGGCAGAGGCAGUGAACCGUGUGGGCCACUCGGGUCGUUUGGACCUCUCUACCAUCAGUCCACGGCCAUUUGCAGUGAUUACUUGCACCAGGAGGAAAGCCAUUACUGGAGGGAGGAACAUGCUCCAAGAACACAGUCAAGAGUUUUUCCGCUGCUUUAUCCCCCGUCAUUUAGAAAUUUGGACAGGUUGUGUUUUUGCCCUGAUGAUUUUCAUACAAGGCAAAACUGAUCAUUUCAUCUCUUCCAUUUCUGUCAUAAACCCACAUGAGGUUGAAAUUAGUUAAUAUUCUGAGAAUUACUGUUCUCAGAGUGGUUGAAUUAUUACCUCCUGAUAUGAUUUAUUUUCUCUUUUUUUCUUCAUUCCAGUCCACAAGCAUUCAUUUUUCUAACUCUAUGCACUCUGUGCCCGUGUGUCAUGCAGUUUCCUGACAUUUCAUAAGCUGUUGUUGCUGUUGCCCCACUUUCCCCUGGGCUGAGUUAAUCUCUCAUGGCGUUUUUCCAGGGCAAGCUGAAGAUCACAGGAAACAUGGGACUAGCCAUGAAGCUUCAAAACCUGCAGCUGCAGCCUGGCAAAGCCAAGCUGUAGAUGAGACAUUGGAGCUACCUGUACCUACACCUCUGAACACUGAAUAGAGUUAACCACCAAGAGUUUAACAGCAAGUCUGAUUUCAGAUAAAUGUUACAGGGUUGUAAGCCCUCUCAUCACUGGACUGAGCCACUGUUUCUACUAGUGACCUCACUGACUGACCAGGGGAUAGAUUAGUCAGCAGCUCCACCAGUCUAACUGGAGAAAAAGGUAGAUGGAAUGAUAGUUAUUUGUCUAAUCAAGUCCCUGUCUGCAGGCCCUCUCAUGAUAACACUGUCAGUAGACUAGAGUAGAGACAGGUGCUCCUACUUUGUGAUACUAAUUCACUUCAUGUCCACUUUUGACUUUCCAAAUUUCCAAUAUGUAUUACUGAUGAAAUCUUUGAGUGUAUUGUGUCUGGAGAUGUUGUGAGUAGAGCAGAUUGAUGUUGUUUCCCACAAUCAUGGACACCACAGUCUAAGUGCCUCCUUGUCUCAGAUUAACAGUUUUUAGCCAACAACACAGAAGUGUUUUUCACUGUGGCCGCCCACUGUUUUAAUGGAGGGGGUUGUAAUUUUCUGCCGUGGUAUCCUUAUUGUUUGAAUCUCUAAAAGAUUUCUACCAAAUAAAUUUGUGCUGCAAGGUCCAUUGGGUGGUCUUGACUCGUGUCUGUUUUUGUUAGGCAGGAGCUGUUAUUUAGCACAAGUCCAUGACUAAUUACCUUGACUUUCUGUUUCUAAUAAUUUUGCAGACUUUAACAAAAAGCCCAGAACAGUUUAUGUGUGAAAUAAAAUGAAUUUAACAACA